CUCCCCCAAUUUUUAUUUUAUUUUUUUCCUUUUUUUAUUUUUUGAAAGAUCGCCUAAUAAAUUAUUGAAUAUGAUUAAUUUCCCCAUGAUGGCUUAUGUUAUACUGUUAAGCACUCGAAUAGUCGAGCGCGCUGUCCUCUGACAGCUCUUGUUUGAUAAGCAGUGAAAUACAGCAUAUAUUUAUAUCAGAGCCUAUUGCAUGUCAUGCACCCUAUGGUUCUUGAGUUCACAGGAUAGGUGUCAAAUUAACCUUACUUAAUCAUACUAUUGUUGUGUAAGCAAACUUAUGUUGUUAUUGUUUAUCCCAUAAUGUAACCUUCGGCCUACUAUCAAGCGUGAAUUGCACAAAUAAGCUCAAGCGAAUCAUUCCGCAAUUAUCUUUAAUAGUUUUUGAUCUCAGAGACUGUCAAGUACCAGCCAAAUCUUUUCCUGUAGGCUUGUAUAACAUUAAGAACAAAAUGCAGAAUAGCCAAUUGUGCGACCUAAUUGACAAAAUUCCAUUUUAAAAGUACAUGUAAAUACAGAUCUCUGCUGUCAAGUGACAAUAAAAAGUGACUAAAGAUCGUGUGUUAUAUAAUGCAACAUUUAUGUGUAUUUGUGUUGGUCUUGUAUCAGUCUGUAUGUAUGUAGGUCUGUUUUUAUGUUGGUCAGUGGGUAUGUAGGUCAGUUGGUGUGUAGGUCAGUAUGUAUGUAGGUCUGUAUUUUUGUUGGUCAGUUGGUAUGUAGGUCUGUUUUUAUGUUGGUCAGUUGGUGUGUAGGUCAGUAUGUAUGUAGGUCAGUACGUAUGUAGGUCUGUAAUUAUGUUGGUCAGUUGGUAUGUAGGUCAGUAUGUAUGUAGGUCUGUGUUUAUGUUGGUCAGUUGGUAUGUAGGUCAGUAUGUGUGUAGGUCUGUUUUUAUGUUGGUCAGUUGGUAUGUAGGUCUGUUUUUAUGUUGGUCAGUUGGUAUGUAGGUAUGUAUUUAUGUUGGUCAGUUGGUAUGUAGGUCAGUAUGUAUGUAGGUCUGUUUUUAUGUUGGUCAGUUGGUAUGUAGGUCUGUUUUUAUGUUGGUCAGUUGGUAUGUAGGUAUGUAUUUAUGUUGGUCAGUUGGUAUGUAGGUCAGUAUGUAUGUAGGUCUGUUUUUAUGUUGGUCAGUAUGUAUGUAGGUCUGUUUUUAUGUUGGUCAGUUGAUGUGUAGGUCUGUUUAAUGUUGGUCAGUUGGUAUGUAGGUCUGUUUUUAUGUUAGUCAGUUGGUAUGUAUCUCUGUUUUAUGUUGGUCAGUUGGUAUGUACCGUAAUUACUCUAUGUUUUCGGACACUCAAAAAUAAUUUAUUUUUUUCGUGUCUGAAAACUUAGAUACGAAAAAUAUUCACGAAAUACAGAUGUCCGAAAACUUAGAGUCGAAUAUUGAAGCGUCCGAAAAUAGCGUAAAUUGUAUCAACGACUACCGGUAAUAGCACGCGCUUGUAAAAUACCAUGCCGUAUAGUAUAAAUAACAGUUAUAAAUGUUUGCGCUGCAUUUAAAGUAAUUUUAAAUGCUUAAUUUAUUUGACAGAAAGUAACUACAAGGCUGUACUUUGACCAACGAGUUCAAAGAUGAGCAUGUGAUGUACCGAUACUCGCUAGUAUGAACCUAUAAUUAACGCAAUAAAAUCAAGCAAACUAUGAAUUCUUUGUUUGUUAAUUUCCGAUAGUUGUUGUCUAACACCUUCCAUUGUUGGUAAAACAUGCAAUAGGGAGCAUCACACUUUGAAGCGUUUAGUAUUUGUCACAGUUAUUUAACUGAGAAUGUGUAAUACCACUGCGGUAGAUAAUUGAAUUGUUAAUUGGCACUACCCCUGGUAAUUGUCAUAACGCUUAUUAUAUCGGGCAAAACCAUUGUUUAAUACCGGUUUACAAGGUUAUUUACCCCAUAACACAAAUAUAAUGGUCCGUUGCCCUCAGGCAUGCACCUGCCAUGUUUUAUGAUGUUAAUCUGGCUGUAAAACCCCAUGAUCGAAGUGUCAUUAGAUAUCGAAAACACAACCGAAAUUUGGUAACAUAGCGCUGUAAAAUAUAUUGUCCUAAAACUUAGAGACAUUAAUUAUGGACGAAAACUCGUGUGUCCGAAAAUUAAGAGUCACGAAAAAUAAUUAUUUUUACUAAAAAAUGGGGCGUCCGGAAACUUAGAGUGUCCGAAAACAUAGAGUUAUUACGGUAGGUCUGUUUUUAUGUUGGUCAGUUGGUAUGUAGGUCUGUUUUUAUGAUGGUCAGUUGGUAUGUAGGUCAGUAUGUAUGUUGGUCAGUAUGUAUGUAGGUUUGUAGUUAUGUUGUUCAGUUUGUGUGUAUGUCUGUUUUUAUGUUGGUCAGUUGGUAUGUAGGUCUGUAUGUAUGUAGAUCUGUAUUUAUGCUGGUCAGUUUGUAGGUCAGUAUGUAUGUAGGUAUGUAUUUAUGUUGGUCAGUUGGUGUGUAGGUCAGUAUGUAUGUAGGUCUGUAUUUAUGUUGGCCAGUUUGUAGGUCAGUAAGUAUGUAGGUCAGUAUGUAUGUAGGUGAGUAUGUAUGUAGGUCUGUAUUUAUGUUAGUCAGUUGGUGUGUAGGUCAAUAUGAAUGUAGGUCUGUAUUUAUGUAGGUCAGUUGGUGUGUAGGUCAGUUGGUGUGUAGGUCAGUAUGUAUGUAGGUCUGUAUUUAUGUUAGUCAGUUGGUGUGUAGGUCAGUAUGAAUGUAGGUCUGUAUUUAUGUUGGUCAGUUGGUGUGUAGGUCAGUUGGUGUGUAGGUCAGUAUGUAUGUAGGUCUGUAUUUAUGUUAGUCAGUUGGUGUGUAGGUCAGUAUGAAUGUAGGUCUGUAUUUAUGUUGGUCAGUUGGUGUGUAGGUCAGUUGGUGUGUAGGUCAGUAUGUAUGUAGGUCUGUAAUUAUGUUGGUCAGUUGGUGUGUAGGUCAGUAUGUAUGUAGGUCAGUUUGUUUGUAGGUCAGUAUGUAUGUAGGUCAGUAUGUAUGUUGGUCUGUAUUUAUGUUGGUCAGUUGGUGUGUAGGUCAGUAUGUAUGUAUGUAGGUCUGUAUUUAUGUUGGUCAGUUGUGUAGGUUAGUUGGUGUCUAGGUCAGUAUGUAUGUAGGUCUGUAAUUAUGUUGGUCAGUUGGUGUGUAGGUCAGUAUGUAUGUAGGUCUGUUUUUAUGUUGGUCAGUUGGUAUAUAGGUCAGUAUGUAUGCAGGUCUGUAUGUAAGUAGGUUUACUAAAGGUUUUUCAUAUUGUUAGUGUAAUUACUAUAUAAAAAAAAACAUGUAUGUCGUUAUUUACAUGAUGUAGGUAUUUAAUGUUGGAGUUAAUUCAAAACCUCUUCAUAAUUUUGUGAUUAUUAAUUUGUGUGUUGUUAUGUUUUUGACUUGUCUCACUUUUAACUUACAGUUAACAUCUACUUUAAAGCAAACAAGAUAUUGAUUUAAGAAGGGACAUUAUUUAUCAAGGUUACAGAAAGGUUUCUGCACUUUUCAACACCUAUAAUCUGUACCAGGGAUACACCUGCUUUGUAAUUAACUGCCUAUUCUGUAACUUUUGUUUUUCUGGUUAUACUUGUGUUUUUUUUAUGUCCCCCACCACUAUAGUGGGGGACAUAUUGUUUUUGCCCUGUCCCUUGGUUUGUUUGUUUGUUUUCCCCAACUUGAACAUUUUGCCCUAACUUUUGCAAUAUUGAAUAAAGCAACUUCAUAUUUGGCAUGCAUGUGUAUCUCAUGGAGCUGCACAUUUUGAGUGGUGAAAGGUCAAGGUCAUCCUUCAAGGUCAAAGGUAAAAAAAAACAUCAAGGGAAGUAAUAAGCUUUAAAGGGAGAUAAUUAUCUGAACCUGCCUAAUGAUAAAAAAAUCAAAGCAGCACAGUAGGGGAUAUACUGUUUCUGACAAACACAUUUCUUGUUUAUUUUAGUAAUCAUUAUAUUCAAAUGCAUUUUCGCAAUUUUAGUAAUUCAAUAAAUGAAGAUAUAUAUUGUUUCAACAGCUUUAUAACAUGGAUGUCAAUUUCUAUGGUUUGUUGUUGUAGAUUUGUUUCAGUUCUUGAGUUUUUAGAAUUGUGUAUCAUUUUAUUCGAUUUGUCUCUGUUUAUACAUGUUGUGAGGGGAAUCAGGGUGGAUGACACCUUUCUUAUUCAAACUUAAAAUUAAAGCUGCUCAGCAACUA